CUCUGUUGUUAGGGAAGAACAAGUACCGUUCGAAUAGGGCGGUACCUUGACGGUACCUAACCAGAAAGCCACGGCUAACUACGUGCCAGCAGCCGCGGUAAUACGUAGGUGGCAAGCGUUGUCCGGAAUUAUUGGGCGUAAAGCGCGCGCAGGCGGUUUCUUAAGUCUGAUGUGAAAGCCCCCGGCUCAACCGGGGAGGGUCAUUGGAAACUGGGGAACUUGAGUGCAGAAGAGGAGAGUGGAAUUCCACGUGUAGCGGUGAAAUGCGUAGAGAUGUGGAGGAACACCAGUGGCGAAGGCGACUCUCUGGUCUGUAACUGACGCUGAGGCGCGAAAGCGUGGGGAGCGAACAGGAUUAGAUACCCUGGUAGUCCACGCCGUAAACGAUGAGUGCUAAGUGUUAGAGGGUUUCCGC
rnacentral:rRNA from 1 species